GACAGAGGGUGCAAACGUUGUUCGGAAUUACUGGGCGUAAAGCGCGUGUAGGCGGCCAUCUAAGUCGGGCGUGAAAUCCCACGGCUCAACCGUGGAAGUGCACUCGAAACUGGAUGGCUAGAGUCCUGGAGAGGAAGGUGGAAGUGCUUGGUGUAGAGGUGAAAUUCGUAGAUAUCAAGCGGAACACCGGUGGCGAAGGCGGCCUUCUGGACAGUGACUGACGCAUGAGUACGG
rnacentral:rRNA from 1 species